UAGCUUCUGAGUGAUAUCAUUGCUGGU
rnacentral:piRNA from 1 species